AUAUUAUUCAACGUGAGCAGAUGAUAUAUUAGGUAAACAAUAAUGUUGUGAAUU
rnacentral:guide_RNA from 1 species